UAGUCCACGCCGUAAACGAUGGUAACUAAGUGUUGCACGUUGGUGCAGUGCUGUAGCUAACGCGUUAAGUUACCCACCUGAGGAGUACGGUCGCAAGAUUAAAACUCAAAGGAAUAGACGGGGACCCACACAAGCAGUGGAUCAUGUGGUUUAAUUCGACAAUAAACGGGGAAUCUUACCCAGGCUUGACAUCCUAGGAAUCUUUCAGAGAUGAGAGAGUGCUUUUAUUAGAACCUAGUGACAGGUGCUGCAUGGUUGUCGUCAGCUCGUGCCUUGAGGUGUUCGGUUAAGUCCGUUAACGAGCGCAACCCAUGUCUUUAGUUAUUAUGUCUAAAGAGACUGCCUUGGUUAACAAGGAGGAAGGUGUGGAUGACGUCAAAUCAGCACGGCUUUUACGCCUGGGGCUACACACAUGAUACAAUGGUACGUACAAAGAGCAGCAAUAUCGCGAGAUGGAGCUAAUCUAUAAAGCGUAUCUCAGUCCGGAUUGGAGUCUGAAA
rnacentral:rRNA from 1 species